UACGUAGGGUGCGAGCGUUAAUCGGAAUUACUGGGCGUAAAGCGUGCGCAGGCGGCGCGUUAAGACAGGUGUGAAAGCCCCGAGCUUAACUUGGGAAUUGCGCUUGUGACUGGCGUGCUGGAGUGUGGCAGAGGGAGGUGGAAUUCCACGUGUAGCAGUGAAAUGCGUAGAGAUGUGGAGGAACACCGGUGGCGAAGGCGGGAUCCUGGGCCAGUACUGACGCUGAGGAGCGAAAGCGUGGGGAGCAAACAGG
rnacentral:rRNA from 1 species